rnacentral:rRNA from 1 species
UAGGGAAUCUUCCGCAAUGGGCGAAAGCCUGACGGAGCAACGCCGCUUGAGUGAUGAAGGUCUUCGGAUCGUAAAACUCUGUUAUUAGGGAAGAACAAAUGUGUAAGUAACUAUGCACGUCUUGACGGUACCUAAUCAGAAAGACACGGCUAACUACGUGCCAGCAGCCGCGGUAAUACGUAGGUGGCAAGCGUUAUCCGGACUUAUUGGGCGUAAAGCGCGCGUAGGCGGUUUUUUAAGUCUGAUGUGAAAGCCCACGGCUCAACCGUGGAGGGUCAUUGGAAACUGGAAAACUUGAGUGCAGAAGAGGAAAGUGGAAUUCCAUGUGUAGCGGUGAAAUGCGCAGAGAUAUGGAGGAACACCAGUGGCGAAGGCGACUUUCUGGUCUGUAACUGACGCUGAUGUGCGAAAGCGUGGGGAUCAAACAGG